AACGAACGCUGGCGGCAGGCUUAACACAUGCAAGUCGAACGGGUGUAGCAAUACAUCAGUGGCAGACGGGUGAGUAACACGUGGGAACCUUCCUAGGGGUACGGAACAACUCAGGGAAACUUGAGCUAAUACCGUAUACGUCCGUGAGGAGAAAGAUUUAUCGCCCUUAGACGGGCCCGCGUCGGAUUAGGUAGUUGGUGGGGUAACGGCCUACCAAGCCGACGAUCCGUAGCUGAUCUGAGAGGAUGAUCAGCCACACUGGGACUGAGACACGGCCCAGACUCCUACGGGAGGCAGCAGUGGGGAAUCUUGGACAAUGGGCGCAAGCCUGGUCCAGCCAUGCCGCGUGAGUGAAGAAGGCCUUAGGGUUGUAAAGCUCUUUUACCAGGGACGAUAAUGACGGUACCUGGAGAAUAAGCCCCGGCAAACUUCGUGCCAGCCGCCGCCGUAACAC
rnacentral:rRNA from 1 species